GGGGGAUGCGAGCGUUAUCCGGAUUUAUUGGGUUUAAAGGGUGCGUAGGCGGGGUGGUAAGUCAGCCGUGAAAUGUCCACGCUCAACGUGGAACGUGCGUUUGAUACUGCCGUCCUGGAAUGCGGAUGCCGUGGGAGGAAUGUGUGGUGUAGCGGUGAAAAGCAUAGAUAUCACACAGAACACCGAUUGCGAAGGCAUCUCACGAAUCCGCAAUUGACGCUGAGGCACGAAAGCGCGGGUAUCGAACAGGAUUAGAUACCCUGGUAGUCCGCGCUGUAAACGAUGAUGGCUAACCGCCGGCGACAUACUGUCGGUGGCCAAGCGAAAGCGAUAAGCCAUCCACCUGGGGAGU
rnacentral:rRNA from 1 species